rnacentral:rRNA from 1 species
GACGAACGCUGGCGGCGCGCUUAACACAUGCAAGUCGAACGGAAAGGCCUGCUUUCCCUUGUGGAUUGCGGGUACUCGAGUGGCGAACGGGUGAGUAACACGUGAGUGAUCUGCCCCCAACUUGGGUAUAAGCCUGGGAAACUGGGUCUAAUUCCCGAUAGGACUGCAGGGUGGUGCCUGUGGUGGAAAACGAUUUUCUAGUGGUUGGGGAUGAGCUCGCGGCCUAUCAGCUUGUUGGUGGGGUAAUGGCCUACCAAGGCGGCGACGGGUAGCCGGCCUGAGAGGGUGGACGGCCACAUUGGGACUGAGAUACGGCCCAGACUCCUACGGGAGGCAGCAGUGGGGAAUAUUGCACAAUGGGCGGAAGCCUGAUGCAGCGACGCCGCGUGGGGGAUGACGGGCUUCGGGUUGUAAACUCCUUUCGACCGCGAGGAAGCCACCUGGUUGGAAGGGUGGUGACGGUAGUGGUAGAAGAAGCACCGGCUAACUACGUG